rnacentral:rRNA from 1 species
UACGUAGGGGGCAAGCGUUGUCCGGAUUUAUUGGGCGUAAAGAGCGUGUAGGCGGUCAGGUAGGUCCGUUGUGAAAACUCGAGGCUCAACCUCGAGACGCCGAUGGAAACCAUCUGACUAGAGUCCGGAAGAGGAGAGUGGAAUUCCUGGUGUAGCGGUGAAAUGCGCAGAUAUCAGGAGGAACACCGGUGGCGAAGGCGGUUCUCUGGGAAUAUCCUGACGCUGAGGAGCGAAAGUGUGGGGAGCGAACAGG